UACGUAGGUGGCGAGCGUUGUCCGGAUUUCCUGGGCGUAAAGAGCGCGCAGGCGGUCGUACAAGUCGCGUGUGAAAGCCCCUGGCUCAACUGGGGAGGGUCACGCGAUACUGUUCGACUUGAAGGCAGGAGAGGGAAGUGGAAUUCCCGGUGUAGUGGUGAAAUGCGUAGAUAUCGGGAGGAACACCAGUGGCGAAGGCGAGUCUCUGGACAUUUCCUGACGCUGAGGCACGAAAGCCAGGGGAGCAAACGGG
rnacentral:rRNA from 1 species